GACGAACGCUGGCGGCGUGCUUAACACAUGCAAGUCGAACGGAAAGGCCCUGCUUUUGUGGGGUGCUCGAGUGGCGAACGGGUGAGUAACACGUGAGUAACCUGCCCUUGACUUUGGGAUAACUUCAGGAAACUGGGGCUAAUACCGGAUAGGAGCUCCUGCUGCAUGGUGGGGGUUGGAAAGUUUCGGCGGUUGGGGAUGGACUCGCCGCUUAUCAGCUUGUUUGAGUGGUAGUGGCUGACCAAGGCUUGGACGGGUAGCCGGCCUGGUAGGGUGACCGGCCACGUUGGGCCUGGGAUGCGGCCCAGACCCCUACGGGACGCAGCGGUGCGGUAUAUUGCACUAUGGGCGGAAGCCUGGUGCAGCAACGCCGCGUGCGGGAUGACGUCCUUCGGGUUGUAAUCCGCUUUCGCCUGUGACGAAGCGUGAGUGACGGUAAUGGGUAAAGAAGCACCGGCUAACUACGUG
rnacentral:rRNA from 1 species